CUUGGUCAUUUAGAGGAAGUAAAAGUCGUAACAAGGUUUCCGUAGGUGAACCUGCGGAAGGAUCAUUCAUAAUCAAGUGUUUUUAUGGCACUUUAAAUCCAUAUCCACCUUGUGUGCAAUGUCAUCUCACUGGGGUCGCGUUUGUAAAAUCUCGUGAUCCGUUUGGGAUUUAUAUCUACUCAGAACUUUAGUCAUUUUGUCUGAAACAUAUUAUGAAUAACUUAAUUCAAAAUACAACUUUCAACAACGGAUCUCUUGGCUCUCGCAUCGAUGAAGAACGCAGCGAAAUGCGAUACGUAAUGUGAAUUGCAGAAUUCAGUGAAUCAUCGAAUCUUUGAACGCAUAUUGCGCUCUCUGGUAUUCCGGAGAGCAUGCUUGUUUGAGUAUCAGUAAACACCUCAACUCCCUUUCUUCUUGAAAUGGAGCUGGACUUGAGUGAUCCCAACGCUUUAUUCAUAAAGUGGCGGGUUACUUGAAAUGCAGGUGCAGCUGGACUUUUCUCUGAGCUAUAAGCAUAUCUAUUUAGUCUGCCUCAAAACAGAUUAUUACCUUUGCUGCAGCUAACAUAAAGGAGAUUAGUUCUUGUGCUGACUGAUGCAGGAUUCACAAAGACCGCUUCGGCUGUCUUUGUAAACUCGAUCUCAAAUCAAGUAAGACUACCCGCUGAACUUAAGCAUAUCAAUAAGCGGAGGA
rnacentral:rRNA from 1 species